rnacentral:rRNA from 1 species
ACUGGAAAGUGUAUCUAGGAUG